UCUAAUCCCUUUCUUUUGCUCAGAUUAGGUGCUGCUUCAAGAUUUAUACCCUGUUUACCCUCCCGAUCGCCUGGUUACCCUCCUUUUCUUAUGCUUUCUAUUCGGCGUCUGAUUAUCAGUCUUCACUGCAACCGUCGUCAAUGGCUAGAGGGUCAUCCUCGAAACCACUGCCGCCUCCACCUUCACCUCCGAGAACCUCAGCUUGGGAUUUUUUGAACCCGUUCGAGAGUUAUGAAAACUACAAUCAUUCGUAUACGCCGAGUACGGAUUUGAGGGAGGUGAGGGAAGCGGAAGGGAUCCCUGAUUUGGAAGAUGAGAAUUAUCAACAUGAAGUAGUUAAAGAAGUGGACGGAGAUCAGAAAAUUGACAAUCUACAAGGAAAAUUUACUACUUUUUAGUUUUGUGGAGUAUGCCAAAAGCUGGGGUUUUUCCUGGUGGGGUUGUCCUCCUAGUAAAUUCCCAUGGACAUAUAGUUCAAAAGAGACAUGUUAUCUAUUGGAAGGG